rnacentral:rRNA from 1 species
AUUGAACGCUGGCGGCAUGCCUUACACAUGCAAGUCGAACGGUAACAGGUCUUCGGAUGCUGACGAGUGGCGAACGGGUGAGUAAUACAUCGGAACGUGCCCGAGAGUGGGGGAUAGCGAGGCGAAAGCUUUGCUAAUACCGCAUACGAUCUCAGGAUGGAAGCAGGGGACCGCAAGGCCUUGCGCUCACGGAGCGGCCGAUGGCAGAUUAGGUAGUUGGUGGGAUAAAAGCUUACCAAGCCGACGAUCUGUAGCUGGUCUGAGAGGACGACCAGCAAGACUGGGGCUGAGACACGGCCCAGACUCCUACGGGAGGCAGCAGUGGGGAAUUUUGGACAAUGGGCGCAAGCCUGAUCCAGCCAUGCCGCGUGCAGGAUGAAGGCCUUCGGGUUGUAAACUGCUUUUGUACGGAACGAAAAGACUCUGGUUAAUACCUGGGGUCCAUGACGGUACCGUAAGAAUAAGCACCGGCUAACUUCGUGCCAGCCGCCGCGGUAAUAC